GAGUGAACGCUGGCGGUCGGCCUAACACAUGCAAGUCGAACGGCAGCACAGUAAGAGCUUGCUCUUACGGGUGGCGAGUGGCGGACGGGUGAGGAAUACAUCGGAAUCUACUUUUUCGUGGGGGAUAACGUAGGGAAACUUACGCUAAUACCGCAUACGACCUACGGGUGAAAGCAGGGGAUCUUCGGACCUUGCGCGAUUGAAUGAGCCGAUGUCGGAUUAGCUAGUUGGCGGGGUAAAGGCCCACCAAGGCGACGAUCCGUAGCUGGUCUGAGAGGAUGAUCAGCCACACUGGAACUGAGACACGGUCCAGACUCCUACGGGAGGCAGCAGUGGGGAAUAUUGGACAAUGGGCGCAAGCCUGAUCCAGCCAUACCGCGUGGGUGAAGAAGGCCUUCGGGUUGUAAAGCCCUUUUGUUGGGAAAGAAAAGCAGCAGGUUAAUACCCCGCUGUUCUGACGGUACCCAAAGAAUAAGCACCGGCUAACUUCGUG
rnacentral:rRNA from 1 species